GUUUCCGUAGUGUAGUGGUUAUCACAUUCACCUCACAUGUGAGAGGUCCCUGGUUCAAAACGGGGCCAAAACA
rfam:Loxodonta africana unplaced genomic scaffold scaffold_5, whole genome shotgun sequence.